rnacentral:rRNA from 1 species
GAUGAACGCUGGCGGCGUGCCUAAUACAUGCAAGUCGAGCGAACGGACGAGAAGCUUGCUUCUCUGAUGUUAGCGGCGGACGGGUGAGUAACACGUGGAUAACCUACCUAUAAGACUGGGAUAACUUCGGGAAACCGGAUCUAAUACCGGAUAAUAUUUUGAACCGCAUGGUUCAAAAGUGAAAGACGGUCUUGCUGUCACUUAUAGAUGGAUCCGCGCUGCAUUAGCUAGUUGGUAAGGUAACGGCUUACCAAGGCAACGAUGCAUAGCCGACCUGAGAGGGUGAUCGGCCACACUGGAACUGAGACACGGUCCAGACUCCUACGGGAGGCAGCAGUAGGGAAUCUUACGCAAUGGGCGAAAGCCUGACGGAGCAACGCCGCGUGAGUGAUGAAGGUCUUCGGAUCGUAAAACUCUGUUAUUAGGGAAGAACAUAUGUGUAAGUAACUGUGCACAUCUUGACGGUACCUAACCAGAAAGCCACGGCUAACUACGUG